UGCCAUCUGUUUCUCAUAGAAGCCAUCUGAGAGGUAUAAAGCUGAAUUAAAUAAUUUAAAUCUCAAACAUGAAAGAUUACUUGCAUUUUAAAAUGUAACAAAUUUGUUUUCAAAAACCUGCUUUCAAUAACCAACUUCAUGGACUAGACAUGUCUAGUAACAAAGCAUUCAUUUACCAAGUCUGUUGAGACCUCUUCUACCUGUCCUAGAAAACUUUCAUUUGAUUUAGUUGGCUGAAAAACUCACUGCAGGGAUCUACCUUUGAGACAACAUAAAUAUAUUGUUCCUAAAUUUUAUUUCAUAAACUAUGAUUUAAAGCACUUAUCCUGAAGAAAAGAGACCAGUUGAAUUCCCUUUUCAGCCUUGAAGGGAUUUAAACCCUGAAUGUUUCCAUGGCUGGUAACAAUCCAAACCAAAAGCCUAUUGUUUGGGUCAGGUGAGGAGAACCACUUUAGACAAUUACAGCCCAAAUCUUAUGAGCGAGGUCUGCAACAAGGUACAAGGUGUGCUUGGAACUUUCCCUUCUGGCUCUCCAUGUGAGUGGGUGGUGAGGCUGCAUUCCAAAACAGUUGGUUAGUUCACAGCUGUCCUAUCCCAAUCUGAUGUUUUACUGUGCAGAAACACAAUAUUUUCUCCUCUAUCACAUAUGAGUAAAUCUUUUUGCUGUACAACUGGCCAUUUUUAGUGAGAACAAGGCAAGAUAAUCCUCUCUGGUUUUUUUUCAUUCCAGAAUGACCUGUGGGAAGCAUAGUCUUUAACAGACAGUGUUGGGCCUUUGAGAUUUUCAGGGCUAACAAAGGCAAAUCACAUAUGAUCUUGACAGUCUUUGAAGUUCUAUAAUAGUCAGAGCACAAUUUGUAGCUCUUCUGGCAGCCACCAAGUAAUUUCACACAGACAUGCUAGAAGGCCUGGCUACGUAUUCCUGUGCUACAUAUGGAGUGGGCAACAGUGCCCUGCACUUGGAAGACCCAGCAGAUGAGGUCUGUCUCAUCAAGGUCAAAGCCCUUGCAGAGUCAUACAGUUCAGCCAGUUCCUCUGAGGUGUCUCUAGAUGAACAUUUGGAUCAGUUCUGUAGCUCAGAAGAAACCAGGGCCAAUUUUUGUACCCCUGAGAUUUUCUCCUAAGUGCAAACAACGUUUUAAUGCUGCUUAGAUGUGAAUAGUUUCUACAGAGAAUAUUUUCAUCUUUUAUGCUGCUACAAACCAACAAACAGAACAUGAUACUGGACACAGUGUUGCUACAUAUCCUUUCACAUUUCUUCAUAAUUGCUGAUUAUUUUUACAGUGUUACAUAACUGUACUUCGGAUCACAGCUAGCAUUACAAGGCUGGAACCCUAUGAUUCUGUAACAGCUUCAGGUUGUGCCAUCUCUCCAGUAAUCCCUUCUCCCUUCUACUCGUGAUGUGAAAACACCUGGACCAGGCAGAGAAAUUGUUCAGAAUUGUAUUGUACAAACAACAAUAUCAGAGUUAUGUGAUUCAGUAACUUUCCUCAGGACACCAGUGAUUAUUCUGUCCUCAUUUUGGGGAUUGCUGUGCUGACUAGAACAGUAACAGUAAUAACAAUUAACAACGUAUUUUAAUUUGAGGUAGGUGAGAAAGAAAUAUAGAAAGAAGGAAAAUAAAAAGAAGAAAGUUUUAAAAAUUUGUCA
rnacentral:lncRNA from 1 species